UGGCGAUGAUUACACUAUCCGCGCUUCUGAGAAUAAUCGAUGAAGCAUAAACGGAAAAAUGGUUGAAUUUCUUGAUAUGAGCCG